GGGGGGAAGAAUGGGGAGGAGAAAGGGGAAGGAGACGGAAGGGGACAGGGGGAGGAAAGAGGAUAAACACAACCCAUCUUCUGCUUGUUUAUGUUCCAAAUGAGCCCUGAACACAGCAGAUACAACGAAAAAGGCAAGGGGUGUCCAGGUUCCCCUCUUGGCUGGCCUCAGUCUGGGGACUUCCCCUGGGAAUUUCCCUGCAGAGCUCAGGAAGUGCUAGGUCUGCAAAUUAGUUCAGCUCCUCCCCUGCUGAUGGGAAUCUGUCAAUCAGAAAUUUAUAGGACCCUGGACCCCUGUGAUUCUCCAUACCAGAGCCGUAGUCUCCAUCCAGAAUUUUAAAAUGCUCCGAAAACAGAAAGCAUUUUGUAUCUCAUUUGGCUGUGAAACCUGACCCAGAAGCCUGGGAGGCCCCUGGGAGUUCAUUUAUCCUGACCGCUGGGAUUAGUCAUUUGGCUCAAGACUUGGCCGUUAGGUGCUUGGUAUAAGUGCUGCCCUAGACUUCAUUGAGGGAGCUACCUCAUAAUUGCUGGCUCUGUAUUUCCUUUCUAAAAUCCAAAACAUUCUGAAUUUCAAACUCAGGUGGCUACAGAAUUUCACAUGAGGAAACUUGAAAGUGUAUUCAAAAAGUGAGAGAAGUACUUUGCAACCUAGAGUGGUACCUUCAGACAAAUAUUGGGCCCCUGAAAAUGUGGGUGGAACUCAAAGGCGCUUGUUUUUUAAAGGUGCCAUUUCAUAGCGCAAACCACUGGGAAGGUCCUGAUACCACCCAGUGAGACCCACUGUGUCUCUCAGCCCGCAUCUCUGGGAGUUUGGUCAGCAGGCUUCACAGGACUGGCUGACCACUCUGGUCCCAAGUUCUCAUCCUCCUCAGGACAUGGUUCUUCAUAUUUUGUCAGUCGCCUUUCUGAACUGUGAUGGAGUGUCAGAGAAGAGAGGCCAGGGCAGGAGUACCCUCUACCCACGUGCUAUACGACUUCUCUCCCAUGUUUCCUGCUGUCUGCUCUGAACCCAGGGAUGGGGCUGGGGGUGAACAAGGAAUGAAAGUAGCUGGAUAUUUAAACAUCCAUUUGGUCAUUUAUUUGCUCAUCAUUUAUUCAUUCAAGUACUAUAUAUUGAUCACCCAUAGUGGGCCAAUAUUUUAGAGAGCUAAAUUAGGCAAAAGUAUUCUCAGCAGUCAGAUAGGGCUGGGCCCUCAAGAGAGUCAGGGCAAAGACAAAAGCUCAUUACAUCUGAGGCUGCAGAUGCAUCUGUUGAAGGCCAGGCCCCAAGAUAAAGAAGAAAUGACCAGGCCUACCUGCCUGCCAAAGGGAUGAGUGGUAACACCUGCCCAACAAGGUUUAGCCAGGUAUCAAUCGCUUUGGUGGGUGACCAGGCCCUGGACCCAUGCCUUCCUGAAGAGUUCUUUGUUCUUUCCAUGUAUGCCUACUCCAUGAUUUUGCCUCCCCAUUGGGUCAGUAUUACCUAAGCAGCUAUACUCAUGAUCUUAUGGGUUGAUCCUAGCUUUAGCCCACAUUGUGCUUACCUUGUGAAUGUGCUCUAUGAUUUACCCUGAAAACUGGGGUCCUCGGCAACCUACUUCGGACCCCCCCCCCUUACCUCUCAGGAGCUGUAUGUAUCCCUCUUAAUAAAUUUUUCCUACUCUUAAACUCCCCUGUUCCUCAAAAUUCAUUCUUUGAUUUUGGGGAACACAGACUAGGUGUGUUGGAUACUUAACAGGCUGGGAAUUAUGGGAUUUCCCCUAUAUCAUUUGGGACUCUUACAUCACUCCUGUAUGUUAGGUGCCUGAGAUGCAGUGAUUAACAGAUGAGUCCAUGUCCUCUCUGAGUUUACAGUCUAGCAAAGGAGACAGGCACUAACCAGAUUGCUAACCACAAUACAAUAGCAUGUGCUGCCAAUGGGGAGACAGUGUGCGGCCAGUGUCUAAAGUGGCCGGAGGACCAGCUCGGUGUAAAGGCUCAGGGCAGACUUCUUAAACCAUAACUUCAGAGUUGACAGGAUGCCAAAAACUAGGCGGUGGCCAGUACGGAUGGUGAAGUGUCAGGAAAGGUGAGGGUGAGUUUCAGACAAAGCAAACUGCAUGAAAACAGGGGCAGGAAGGGGACUGGUCUAAAUGCGGAAGUGAAAACCAUCACUGUGGUACAGGAAAGCACACAGGUUGAGAUAAAGGAACUUCAGUCUUUCGCCUGAGAGCGCUAAUCAGCCACUGAGGAGUUUUAAGUAAAAAUGUGACAAUCAGAUAGGAUUUAUCGGAUCAAUCUGUGAUGGAGAGAAGGAUCAAGGGUAACUGCAGGAAGAGCUGACGGAAAUCAGAUGGCUCUCUUAGGACACACACGGAUCUAACAGAAGACAGCACAGAAUCAUACCCAGUGGACACAACUCAGCUAGAUUCGUCCUGCUCCUCAGACAGUGGGUUACAAAGCUGAGCCAGGGCUUCCAGGACAGCUAGAAGAGCCUCGGAAUAAAAAUCGUAGUUGAUAUGGCUUCACCAUUUAGUUUGUUUCUAUGAAUGCUGAUCAGUUAAACUCUCAUGCGAAGAUGGCCACAAAGUUACAUUAAACACUGUAAUCAUAUAUUAUCAUAUCUAACUGACUUCACUCAUCCUGAGCAGAAUUUAUUCUGACUUUCUUCCACAUCCCAAGACUGUUAUGCUGUCUGCUGAAACUCCCCACUAAAAUGGAUUGAGUUCUGGAGAACAGAAGGCCAGAAAUGACUUUCACUGGGCUAAAUUCCCAGCAUCAUUAGGGUGCCAGCAAUGGCAGGGUGAAUUCUUUCACACUGCAGCAUUCUGAUCUACUGUUCUGCCUCCCUUUUCAACUGCAAAGGAACUUUGUGAUUACAUUGGGUCCACGUGAAGAACUGGCUAAUCUCUCCAUCUCAAG